GCGGCAAAAGCUCAAAUUUGAAAUCUAGCACCUUCGGUGUUCGAGUUGUAAUUUGAAGAUGGUAACCUUGGGUUUGGCUCUUGUCUAUGUUCCUUGGAACAGGACGUCAUAGAGGGUGAGAAUCCCGUCUGAUGAGAUGCCCAUUCCUAUGUAAGGUGCUAUCGAAGAGUCGAGUUGUUUGGGAAUGCAGCUCUAAGUGGGUGGUAAAUUCCAUCUAAAGCUAAAUAUUGGCGAGAGACCGAUAGCGAACAAGUACAGUGAUGGAAAGAUGAAAAGAACUUUGAAAAGAGAGUGAAAAAGUACGUGAAAUUGUUGAAAGGGAAGGGCAUUAGAUCAGACUUGGUGUUUUACGAUUAUCUUCUCUUCUUGAGUUGUGCACUCGUAUUUCACUGGGCCAGCAUCGAUUCGGAUGGCAAGAUAAUGGCAGUUGAAUGUGGCUUCACUUCGGUGGAGUGUUAUAGCUUCUGCUGAUAUUGCCUGUCUGGAUCGAGGGCUGCGUCUUU
rnacentral:rRNA from 1 species